UACGUAGGGUGCAAGCGUUGUCCGGAAUCAUUGGGCGUAGAGAGCUCGUAGGCGGUCUGUCGCGUCUGCUGUGAAAACCUGGGGCUUAACCCUGGGCUUGCAGUGGGUACGGGCAGACUAGAGUGCGGUAGGGGAGACUGGAAUUCCUGGUGUAGCGGUGAAAUGCGCAGAUAUCAGGAGGAACACCGGUGGCGAAGGCGGGUCUCUGGGCCGUAACUGACGCUGAGGAGCGAAAGCAUGGGUAGCGAACAGG
rnacentral:rRNA from 1 species